AAGCCAUAGGUUUGUUGAUUAUUAUUAUCUGUUUGUUGGGGUUUGUAGCUACAAAGCACUAGAUUAGAGUACACCAGCACUAUACAACAAUAGUGGGAGGAGGAGGAGUAGUAAUUGUGAUAGCUCAUGUGGUAGAAGCUGCUCUAUUCUGCCAACCAUUUGCUUCACUAAAUAGAAGCUGCAGAAAAGGAAGUGAAGUGAAAAAACAUGGGGUCCUGGUCUUUCAUUCCUUGAUUUCUGUGUACAACCAUGACCUCACUUCUCUUCAGUUUGACUUUGGAUUUCAAUGCUAUGGGCAUUGGAUUUUCAACCCAUUAAAAACACACACAAAUAGCCCUGGCACAAAACCAAUGGCACCUUCCUUGCACACCACCCCCAAAGGAGGAAAGAAACACAGCGCUCGUAUCGUUUUGUGCAAUUUAUUUAGAAAACACUGUUGGGAUUGGUUUCCUGCAUCAUGCAGACGCAAUCCGUGGCUGUUAGCCACUGAAGCUCAAUUGGGCUCUAUCGCUGAGGCUCAAAAACAACAGACCCAACUGGAAACCAGCCUCGGAGAUGGGGCUAAUGAGGCUUAAACCCUAACCCUAAUCUCAGUAACAAAAGAAGAACCGUGACGAGUUCAGUAGGAACUGCAUUGGGAGCAGUGCAUACCAUUAAAUAGCACGCUGUGGGAGAUAAUGGGUGUGAGGAGAAGGAAAGGGUCCUGACAUAUGUCCCUUUUAAUAAAAUCCCAAACCCUAAAAAAGAGAGCACCUGUAGGGCUUGCCAGCAAGGGACCCAGUUUCUUCUUCACUUUGCUGGUGGCCUACAUAUGGCCUACGUUGUCUGCAGAAUUCAGACUGUCUCGGCACGAUCAUUGAAUCCCGUGUGUGUGAGUGGGGGAGAGAGAGAGAGAGAGAGAGAGAGAGAGAGAGAAGGAGAGUCUGGAAGUAUUUGAUUGUCAAUCCCUUCCGCACCUGCCAUUAAUCUACAGUGCUUGCACUUAAAAUCCCCCAUUACUCGGUGUACAACUUCUUUCCUUCAUCCUCUGAGCUCGCAAAUGCUCGAGCCUGCACGAAGUACUCGCCCCAUUAUUUCGCCUCUAUCAAUGUGAACUUACCACUGGAGUUUUGUGUUAUCUCCGUCAUGGAGCGCUGGGGGGGAGUGUUGAAGGGAUUUGCCGACAUCGAGAAAAUCCCUCCAGACUGAAGUUCGAGUCGAACUUGAGUAUGAUUGUUCACCUAAGUUUCUCUUCUUUUGUUUUGUAUCAAUGAUGUGAUAAGACCGGCCGCUGCAUUAAACAUGUUUUACUUUCACUCAAUCCGCCCAGCUCGGAUGUUAAACAGGUUAAGAAACUUCUGAUUAGAGGUCGGAUGGGCUCCAUUUUUUAAAAAAUAAUUUCAUUAGCCUUGUGGGUUGCCUACAACUGAUAGUUUCACUAAGGCUUGUCGUAGGCAAUCUGAGGGGCUUUGACUGCAUUCUUAGCACACUUGGCAAAAUCUUCGAGAACUACAAAAA